rnacentral:lncRNA from 1 species
AGCACGGGAGCUUUCUCUUCAGGAUGUAAAUGUAUGUAAAUUAUUAAAAGAGAGAUGUAUAUUAACUGAUAAUGUUGCAAAUUUUAAAAAAUGGCGCGAACAACAAAAUCGAUAAAGAAAUUCUAUUAUUUUUCUGAAAGGGAGAGGGAACGGGAACAUAAGUAAAUAUUAGGAUGAACUCGAAGUGGUUUGGGCGGCAGUUAUUCUAUCUUCAAAACAUAAUUGGGUCUAAACUCCGAUUUGUCUGCCCUAUAUUGGAGUAUUGUUCUUGUGUGUCCUCCAUACAAGGACCAACAAAUUUCCCGAUUACUCAUAUGCAGUAUAAUGACGCCCAGCAUUAACCUUUUCAGGUUUUAUGGAAUAAUAAUAAUUAUUUAAUGUACCUUAAUUUAAGCAAAUUUGUAAAUUGUGUCUUUCCUUCCUC